CUCUCUCUUCUCCGGCUCGAGCUCUCUCAUCUCCGGCUUGCGCUCUUUCUUCUCUGACGCAGACCACGAGCUCUCUCAUCUUCGGCUCGAGCUCUCUCAUCUCGACGCAAACCUCGAGCUCUCUCUUCUCCGACUCGAGCUCUCUCAUCUCUGACGCUGACCACGAGCUCUCUCAUCUCCUCCGAUUUGGGUUUCAAGCAUUGUUGAGGCCUUCAAGAUCCUGAUUCUGUGUUGGGUUCACUCACACGUGAGAUCAAAGAAGUUGGGCCUGAUGGGCAGGAGGUGACUAAAGUUGUACCUGCUGUUACGGAAGAAGUGACAAUCUCUUAUUUUGAAGCUAUAUAUUGUAUUUAAUAGCUUUUCUCGAGCUAGACCAAACCCAUCUCUUCCUUUUCUCGUUGAGGCUCUCUCGUCUCAAGCUGACACUCUCAAGUUCAAGAUGACAAAAGAUAACUGGCCUCCUGAGGAGACUAGAUACUUUUUCCAACUUUAUGCCGAAGAGAGAAGAAAGGGAAAUAGGACCAGUACGUCUAUGAAUAAAGUAGGGAAGGAGAACAUCAUGGUGGCGUUUGAAGACAGGUUUAAGAAAGGAUAUGAUUCUUGGCAGACUUUCAAGAACAAAUACGACACAAGUAGGAAGAAAUACACCAAGUUUAGGAAGUUAACUAAGAAUAGGACAGGGCUUGGGUUUGAUAACUUGGGAAGGAUCGAUAUGUCAGAUGAUUGGUGG